rnacentral:ncRNA from 1 species
GUCACCGCGAGGUGGGGUGGGAAGGAAGCCGGAGGCAAAACCCUGCACUGAGGAACACGAACCACAUAGAAGGCAUAUUCGUCGGGGUAAGCCAGCAAAAGAUGGUGAAGCCCGUCCCACCAGUUUUGUUCCAUCAACAAACGGCGGAUGUGUAAAUGUGGCAGGCGCAGGGGGAAAGUGAAUGUU